rnacentral:misc_RNA from 1 species
UCCGGUUUGUCACCGGCAGUCCCAUUAGAGUGCCCAACUGAAUGUAGCAACUAAUGGCAAGGGUUGCGCUCGUUGCGGGACUUAACCCAACAUCUCACGGCACGAGCUGACGACAGCCAUGCAGCACCUGUGUCUAGGUUCCCUUUCGGGCACUCCUGCAUUUCUGCAGGAUUCCUAGCAUGUCAAGGGUAGGUAAGGUUUUUCGCGUUGCAUCGAAUUAAACCACAUCAUCCACCGCUUGUGCGGGCCCCCGUCAAUUCCUUUGAGUUUCAACCUUGCGAUUGUACUUCCCAGGCGGGGCACUUCAUGCGUUAGCGCCGGUACUCCAAGGGUCGCUCCCCGGAGCACCUAGUGCCCAUCGUUUACGGCGUGGACUAC